CAGGGCUCAGGGCCCAUUGUCCUGGAUGAUGUGGCCUGUACUGGACAUGAGUACUACCUGUGGAGCUGCUCCCACCGAGGCUGGCUCUCCCAUAACUGUGGACACUCUGAGGAUGCUGGAGUCAUCUGCUCAGCUUCUCAAACAAGCUCUCCCACACCUGGUUGGUGGAACCCAGACCCGACAAUGAAUGGU